GAUCAUUAUUGAAAUUACUGGUGAGGGUUGUAGCUGGCCUUUUGGGGCAUGUGCACGCCUGAGCCUUUAAUCCACACACACCUGUGAACCUAAUGUAAGGGCCCGGUAAAAAAAGGCCCCUACGUCUUAUCAUCAACCCCCCAUGUGUAAUAGAAUGGAAAAUUGAUGUCCUCGCCUUAAAAAAGCGUUGAUAAAAAAAACUUAUACAACUUUCAACAACGGAUCUCUUGGCUCUCGCAUCGAUGAAGAACGCAGCGAAAUGCGAUAAGUAAUGUGAAUUGCAGAUUUUCAGUGAAUCAUCGAAUCUUUGAACGCACCUUGCGCUCCUUGGUAUUCCGAGGAGCAUGCCUGUUUGAGUGUCAUUAAAUUCUCAACUCCCUGAUUGAUUUCUCAGAGCUUGGACUUGGAGUGUGCUGGCAAAGGUCGGCUCCUCUGAAAUGCAACAGCGGAAUUCAAUCUUUUGGCUUCUGGAUGUCAGUGUGAUAAUGAUGUUGCGCUGUC
rnacentral:rRNA from 1 species